CCUGGGUUAUGACGAAAGCAAAUCUCAGACGCAUCACACACCUAAGUAUUUAUUAAACACGCGUUCACUGAGGAGGCACAGAGCCCUUCAUCCAGGCUGCUCCGGAAGCAGAAUGAACACGCCACCCUGUGUCUGUCAGGCGGCUGGAGAAUGUGCAUAGGGGCUGAGCACCGCCCUUUUCUGGAAAGGUCGUAAGGAAGGAGGCCCUCUAGAGCUGCCCAGAGAGGAAGCAAACAGAGAAGGUGUAAAGAUUGCAGUCUGAGGGCCAACAUUUGCCCUGGGGGUCUGGCCGAGAGGAAAGGCCCGUUGGGAUCUUCACAACUCUGGCCUCCUGGCUCCUCUCCCGACCAGAGUCUCCCGGAGGGCCGCCACAGAGCCUUCUGAUUCCCUUGCCUUCCAGAAGCUCCUGCCCUGUAGCAUGAGGCCUUCCCUGGGAAACUGGGAAGCUUGUCUUCAAGUCUCCCCCUCCCUCUUCAGCAUCCCUCUUUCCCGACUCCCUACUGCCUCCCCACCCUGUCUGUUUCUUUUAAAGAACAUCCCCCACCCCCCUACAACAACCCAGGCUCCAGGCUACACACCCUCACAUACACUCUUACACCAAGACUUACCUUAAGUCCUGAUUCUUCCAGGUCCUUCCGGAGAGCUGAAAGAUGCCACAGAACUACUUUUUUACUAAGAUACCAACGGCUUCAAAAGAGAUUGAAU